GGAUUUCACAUAUCUCAGCGGGUCUCAGCCAACGAUGCUGCACUUCGGAUAAUAUCUGUGUUAUGUCUAAUCGAAAUCCAGGAGGAUCCGAUCCACAAUCCUCCAUUGAUGAUGACUUGAUCAGAAGACCGACGCGAGCUUCAGAGUAUAGAGAAGAUGAAUGUGAAUGAAAAUGAGAACCGAGAAUGUUUGGUGUGAAUG
rnacentral:misc_RNA from 1 species